rnacentral:rRNA from 1 species
GAAGGUGGCAAGCGUUGUUCGGAUUCACUGGGCGUACAGGGAGCGUAGGCGGUUGGGUAAGCCCUCCGUGAAAUCUCCGGGCCUAACCCGGAAAGUGCAGAGGGGACUGCUCAGCUAGAGGAUGGGAGAGGAGCGCGGAAUUCCCGGUGUAGCGGUGAAAUGCGUAGAGAUCGGGAGGAAGGCCGGUGGCGAAGGCGGCGCUCUGGAACAUUUCUGACGCUGAGGCUCGAAAGCGUGGGGAGCAAAC